AAGUCGUAACAAGGUUUCCGUAGGUGAACCUGCGGAAGGAUCAUUAAAAAAUACGCCUGGUGAAGUUGUGAAAACAAUGAAUCCAGUGCUGUAUACAACCACCUGUUUACCUUUACCUGUUUCUUCCGUGGAAUUACGGGUGCUCUUUCUGCUUGCAGCUUAGAGUUACCUUCCACGGGUGCAUUUUAAAAAUUGUCUUGUAUUAUUGUCUGAAAAAAUUAAAAGUUAAAA
rnacentral:misc_RNA from 1 species